rnacentral:lncRNA from 1 species
AUUAUGUAGCCCAGGUCUCCACAUUCGGUUUGGAUACUCCGAUGUUGGUUUUGCUCACCCCUCCUCAGAGCAAAGCCCCAAGUAGUAAUGAGUUUCCAAGUUCAAGGCACUGAAUGGGAAGCAGAGCUUUAAAACCAGUGAGCAGAAGCAGUUGCUGAACUAAAGAAGAGAACCUGUCAGAUAGAGAAAGUAGCUGAGCUAAGCUGGGUGUUGUGAGGAGGGGACCAGCAUUUACCAGGGAGCAGGUUCAGCAGCUUGGUCUGGGAUUUCUAGAGAAGCAGUGGCUUCUGACCUAGGGCUGAAUGGCUUGUGUACUGUUCCGUUGGCUUGCCCGUCUACCCCAACGCCCCAACGCCCCAAUGCCCCAACGCCCCAACGCCCCAACACCCCACCACCCCACCAUGCUUUUAUGUGUGUUGCUGAGCUGUGAUGCAUGUGUCUUUGUGUUGAUUGUGUCAUUGUUUAAAACAAUAGAGAAACAGCCAGACUCUUUUCAAGGAUAUUCUGUCCGCGAAGUUGAUGUCCCAGAUGGCGGCAGCACGGACACCUGAAGAGGCAACCCAGGUGCAUAAGGUGUUCACCGCUCGUCUUCGUGUCUGCUUCCGCUCCCCUCCUCCAUGAGUAUCUGCUCACAGCCAGAAAUACGAUCUUUAAUGCCAGUUUAUCUUCAGAUAGGUUUUGAAUGUUUAAAAAGUUAGGCUCCUAAUAGCCAAAAACCAAGCCAGAGGGGUGGUGACGCAUGUCUUUAGUCCCAGUAUUGGGGAAGUAGAGGGAGGUGGAUCUCUGUGAGUUCAAGGCCAGCCUGGUCUUCAGAGUGAGUUCAAGGACAGCCAUGGCUACACAGAGAAUCCCUGUCUGGAAAAACAAAACAAAAUUAACAAAAGCUGGGCUCC